rnacentral:rRNA from 1 species
AACUUUCAACAACGGAUCUCUUGGUUCCGGCAUCGAUGAAGAACGCAGCGAAAUGCGAUACGUAAUGUGAAUUGCAGAAUUCAGUGAAUCAUCGAGUCUUUGAACGCACAUUGCGCCCCUUGGUAUUCCGGGGGGCAUGCCUGUCCGAGCGUCAU